AUUGAACGCUGGCGGCAGGCCUAACACAUGCAAGUCGAGCGGAUGAAGGGAGCUUGCUCCUGGAUUCAGCGGCGGACGGGUGAGUAAUGCCUAGGAAUCUGCCUGGUAGUGGGGGAUAACGUCCGGAAACGGGCGCUAAUACCGCAUACGUCCUGAGGGAGAAAGUGGGGGAUCUUCGGACCUCACGCUAUCAGAUGAGCCUAGGUCGGAUUAGCUAGUUGGUGGGGUAAAGGCCUACCAAGGCGACGAUCCGUAACUGGUCUGAGAGGAGGAUCAGUCACACUGGAACUGAGACACGGUCCAGACUCCUGAGGGAGGCAGCAGUGGGGAAUAUUGGACAAUGGGCGGAAGCCUGAUCCAGCCAUGCCGCGUGUGUGAAGAAGGUCUUCGGAUUGUAAAGCACUUUAAGUUGGGAGGAAGGGCAGUAAGUUAAUACCUUGCUGUUUUGACGUUACCAACAGAAUAAGCACCGGCUAACUUCGUG
rnacentral:rRNA from 1 species